GGGCCAGACUCCUACGGGAGGCAGCAGUGGGGAAUAUUGCACAAUGGGGGAAACCCUGAUGCAGCGACGCCGCGUGGGUGAAGAAGUAUUUCGGUAUGUAAAGCCCUAUCAGCAGGGAAGAAGAAUGACGGUACCUGACUAAGAAGCACCGGCUAAAUACGUGCCAGCAGCCGCGGUAAUACGUAUGGUGCAAGCGUUAUCCGGAUUUACUGGGUGUAAAGGGAGCGCAGGCGGCACGCUAAGCCUGAUGUGAAAACCCGCGGCCCAACCGCGGGAGUGCAUUGGGAACUGGCGGGCUAGAGUACCGGAGGGGCAGGCGGAAUUCCUAGUGUAGCGGUGAAAUGCGUAGAUAUUAGGAGGAACACCAGUGGCGAAGGCGGCCUGCUGGACGGAGACUGACGCUGAGGCUCGAAAGCGUGGGGAGCAAACAGGAUUAGAUACCCUUGUAC
rnacentral:rRNA from 1 species